rnacentral:lncRNA from 1 species
CAUUAUUGUUUCACACUUCUUAUUUUCAGAUACAAUGAACAAGCAUGACCUUCAACACACGCGCGCGCACGCAUAACUAUUCAUAGGUAUAGCACCGGAAGUGAAUGCCAUUCAUCAACGCCUCAUGCCCUCAUCUAUCAGGGGGAGUACAACCUGAUCCUGGAGGUCUCGGAGGGUUUGGCGAUUCACAAUCUGCAACAGCAGCAAACAAGCUCAGUCCAUGAUUGAAAACAAAAAAAAAAUUCAAGUCAUCAAACAAAUAGGAAGUUGACGGUUCUCACAUUCCGCAACGAUAGCAGAGCCCAUGACCAUCAAAACCACCACCCAGAAGCAGAAAACCGCAAGAAAGCGAGCACUUUUCAAACUUGUGCUCAUGGUUAGACGUGUUAUUUCUCUCCGCGUUCAGGGCAUCGUCAGUUCGGUGCUGAACUGGGAUAGCC